rnacentral:lncRNA from 1 species
GACCCUCAGGUGUCAAGUCUAGAUCCGUGAAUCCCAAACCAUGUCUCGUGUUAACAUUUGUAAUAACACCUUCGAGCUGGUUAAUAGAAAUCUCUUGAGGCACAUAAGCCAUAUUCGACAUUUUCAACAAGGCGUUACGAUGUGCCUCGGAACACAUUAACAGAGAGAGAAUAGAGAUUUUUUAUGGUGUCUGGUUCAACUGAUCCACGAUCUUGUAAUCACUUUUCUUGAUAAUUCUCAUAAAUUCCUCCACGUCCUUCUCAAAAGAAUUCUCGGGCACUUCC